GGCGGAGCCGGGGACGACAACUCCGCCAAGCCGAUCACUGGAGGCUCCGAAUUCCUCCUGCGACGAGGGUGGCCUUCCCUCAUACUCAUAAUCCAGAGACUUGCAGGGUUGGCAUAAAAGGGAUCCGUCCAGGGUAUCGUUGUUAGUGCUACAAGUCACUGAGCACGAAAUAGCAUCUCUAUCAUUCUAUUAAGAUCCGACAGUUGAGACUCU